rnacentral:rRNA from 1 species
CAUAGCGACUAUCGUGGCAUAUCAAUAAGCGGAGGAAAAGAAACUAACAAGGAUUCCCUUAGUAACGGCGAGUGAAGCGGGAAGAGCUCAGAUUUGAAAUCUUCAAGGUUCUACCUUGACGAAUUGUAGUUUAUAGAAGUGUUUUCUGUUAGUAGAGUUUGGUAAAAGUUCUUUGGAAUAGGACAUCAUAGAGGGUGAGAAUCCCGUAUUUGACCAGUUACUUUUCAGCUGUGUGAUACACUUUCAAAGAGUCGGAUUGUUUGGGAAUGCAGUCCAAAAUGGGUGGUAAAUUUCAUCUAAAGCUAAAUAUUGGCGAGAGACCGAUAGCGAACAAGUACCGUGAGGGAAAGAUGAAAAGAACUUUGAAAAGAGAGUUAAACAGUACGUGAAAUUGUCAAAAGGGAAGCGUUUGACACCAGUGUUGUUUUUCCGAAAAUCAAUUAAAAAUUGAUUCAUGCCUAGGUUGUAUUGACCUUAUCAGCUUGCAAUUUGGUUUUGGGUCUCUUUUUGAUGCACUUUUCGGUUAACAAGUCAACAUCAAUUUCCUUUGCUGUAAAAAGGUAAGAGGAAGGUGGCUUCAAUUUCGGUUGAAGUGUUUAUAGCCUUUUAUCUCUGCAGUCGGGGAGAUUGAGGUCUGCAGCGUAGAUCCUUCGGGGCUAGAUACAUUUAUGCUAAGUUAUAGCUUUUCAUAGACAACUUGUUGACUAUGUUUAGUCAUGUAGCUUACUCGUAAGUGCUAUUUUACCUACGCUUAGGAUGUUGAUAGUCACAGCGUGUAC